rnacentral:rRNA from 1 species
UGCCGCGUGUGUGAAGAAGGCCUUAUGGUUGUAAAGCACUUUAAGCGAGGAGGAGGCUACUUUAGUUAAUACCUAGAGAUAGUGGACGUUACUCGCAGAAUAAGCACCGGCUAACUCUGUGCCAGCAGCCGCGGUAAUACAGAGGGUGCGAGCGUUAAUCGGAUUUACUGGGCGUAAAGCGUGCGUAGGCGGCUUAUUAAGUCGGAUGUGAAAUCCCCGAGCUUAACUUGGGAAUUGCAUUCGAUACUGGUGAGCUAGAGUAUGGGAGAGGAUGGUAGAAUUCCAGGUGUAGCGGUGAAAUGCGUAGAGAUCUGGAGGAAUACCGAUGGCGAAGGCAGCCAUCUGGCCUAAUACUGACGCUGAGGUNCGAAAGCAUGGGGAGCAAACAGGAUUAGAUACCCUGGUAGUCCAUGCCGUAAACGAUGUCUACUAGCCGUUGGGGCCUUUGAGGCUUUAGUGGCGCANCUAACGCGAUAAGUAGACCGCCUGGGGAGUACGGUCGCAAGACUAAAACUCAAAUGAAUUGACGGGGGCCCGCACAAGCGGUGGACCAUGUGGUUUAAUUCGAUGCAACGCGAAGAACCUUACCUGGCCUUGACAUACUAGAAACUUUCCAGAGAUGGAUUGGUGCCUUCGGGAAUCUAGAUACAGGUGCUGCAUGGCUGUCGUCAGCUCGUGUCGUGAGAUGUUGGGUUAAGUCCCGCAACGAGCNCAACCCUUUUCCUUNNCUUGCCAGCNUUNCGGAUGGGAACUUUUAAGGAUACUGCCCGUGNACAAACUGGNGGAAAGNCGGGNACGACGUCAAUUCAUCUGGCCUUUA